rnacentral:tRNA from 1 species
GGUGGGUUGGCUCAGUGGUUAGAGCGUAGGUCUCGAACCGAAAGGUUGCGGUAUCGAAUCCCGCUUAGGCUG